rnacentral:rRNA from 1 species
GAUGAACGCUAGCGACAGGCUUAACACAUGCAAGUCGAGGGGUAACAGGGUAGCAAUACCGCUGACGACCGGCGCACGGGUGAGUAACGCGUAUGCAACCUGCCUAUAACUGGGGAAUAGCUCCCUGAAAGGGGAAUUAACACCGCAUAACACUAUUGAUUCGCAUGGAUUGGUAGUUAAAUGUAGCGAUACAGGUUAUAGAUGGGCAUGCGCGACAUUAGCUAGUUGGUGAGGUAACGGCUCACCAAGGCUACGAUGUCUAGGGGUUCUGAGAGGAAGGUCCCCCACACUGGUACUGAGACACGGACCAGACUCCUACGGGAGGCAGCAGUGAGGAAUAUUGGUCAAUGGGCGCAAGCCUGAACCAGCCAUGUCGCGUGCAGGAAGACUGCCCUAUGGGUUGUAAACUGCUUUUAUAGUAGAAGAAACACACCUACGCGUAGAUGUCUGCCAGUAUACUAUGAAUAAGCAUCGGCUAACUCCGUGCCAGCAGCCGCGGUAAUACGGAGGAUGCAAGCGUUAUCCGGAUUUAUUGGGUUUAAAGGGUGCGUAGGCGGGACUGUAAGUCAGGGGUGAAAUACUGCAGCUUAACUGUAGCAUUGCCUUUGAAACUGUGGUUCUUGAGUACAGUUGAGGUAGGCGGAAUGUGGUGUGUAGCGGUGAAAUGCAUAGAUAUACCACAGAACGCCGAUUGCGAAGGCAGCUUACUAAGCUGUUACUGACGCUGAGGCACGAAAGCGUGGGGAUCAAA